rnacentral:rRNA from 1 species
UCGAACGGAAAGGCCCUGCUUGCAGGGUACUCGAGUGGCGAACGGGUGAGUAACACGUGGGUGAUCUGCCCUGCACUUCGGGAUAAGCUUGGGAAACUGGGUCUAAUACCGGAUAGGAACCAUCUUUAGUGUGGUGGUUGGAAAGUUUUUUCGGUGUAGGAUGAGCUCGCGGCCUAUCAGCUUGUUGGUGGGGUAAUGGCCUACCAAGGCGGCGACGGGUAGCCGGCCUGAGAGGGUGUACGGCCACAUUGGGACUGAGAUACGGCCCAGACUCCUACGGGAGGCAGCAGUGGGGAAUAUUGCACAAUGGGCGCAAGCCUGAUGCAGCGACGCCGCGUGGGGGAUGAAGGCCUUCGGGUUGUAAACUCCUUUCGCUAGGGACGAAGCUUUUCGUGACGGUACCUAGAUAAGAAGCACCGGCUAACUACGUGCCAGCAGCCGCGGUAAUACGUAGGGUGCGAGCGUUGUCCGGAAUUACUGGGCGUAAAGGGCUCGUAGGUGGUUUGUCGCGUCGUCUGUGAAAUUCUGGGGCUUAACUCCGGGCGUGCAGGCGAUACGGGCAUAACUUGAGUGCUGUAGGGGUAACUGGAAUUCCUGGUGUAGCGGUGAAAUGCGCAGAUAUCAGGAGGAACACCGAUGGCGAAGGCAGGUUACUGGGCAGUUACUGACGCUGAGGAGCGAAAGC